rnacentral:rRNA from 1 species
AUAAGGGCGCACGGUGGAUGCCUUGGCACUAGGAGCCGAUGAAGGACGGGACUAACACCGAUAUGCUUUGGGGAGCUGUACGUAAGCUAUGAUCCAGAGAUUUCCGAAUGGGGGAACCCAGCAUCUUUUAUAGGAUGUUACGUUUGCGUGAAUACAUAGCGCAUUCGAGGUAGACGCAGAGAACUGAAACAUCUAAGUACCUGCAGGAAGAGAAAGAAAAUUCGAUUCCCUGAGUAGCGGCGAGCGAAACGGGAAAAGCCCAAACCAAUGAGCUUGCUCAUUGGGGUUGUAGGACUCCAAUAUGGUAGUUCUUUCAGAUAGUCGAAUGACUUGGAAAAGUCAGUCAAAGAGGGUAAAAACCCCGUAGAUGAAAUUUGGAAGGCACCUAGGAGGAUCCUGAGUACGGCGGAACACGAGGAAUUCCGUCGGAAUCCGGGAGGACCAUCUCCCAAGGCUAAAUACUCCCUAGUGACCGAUAGUGAACCAGUACCGUGAGGGAAAGGUGAAAAGCACCCCGGAAGGGGAGUGAAAUAGAACCUGAAACCGUGUGCCUACAACAAGUCAAAGCCCGUUAAUGGGUGAUGGCGUGCCUUUUGUAGAAUGAACCGGCGAGUUACGAUUGCAUGCGAGGUUAAGUUGAAGAGACGGAGCCGCAGCGAAAGCGAGUCUGAAUAGGGCGUUUGAGUAUGUAGUCGUAGACCCGAAACCAUGUGAUCUACCCAUGUCCAGGUUGAAGGUGCGGUAAAACGCACUGGAGGACCGAACCCACGUACGUUGAAAAGUGCGGGGAUGAGGUGUGGGUAGCGGAGAAAUUCCAAACGAACUUGGAGAUAGCUGGUUCUCUCCGAAAUAGCUUUAGGGCUAGCCUCGGAAUUGAGAAUGAUGGAGGUA